UGAGAUCAGUCAGAAUAACUCG
rnacentral:miRNA from 1 species